rnacentral:rRNA from 1 species
UCUAGUUAGCAUUAUACCGUGAAACUGCGAAUGGCUCAUUAAAUCAGUUAUCGUUUAUUUGAUAAUACCUUACUACUUGGAUAACCGUGGUAAUUCUAGAGCUAAUACAUGCUGAAAGUCCCGAGUUCGGAAGGGAUGUGUUUAUUAGAUAAAAAACCAAUGCCCUUCGGGGCUUUUUGGUGAUUCAUGAUAACUUUACGGAUCGCAUAGCCUUGCGCUGGCGACGGUUCAUUCAAAUUUCUGCCCUAUCAACUUUCGAUGGUAAGGUAUUGGCUUACCAUGGUUUCAACGGGUAACGGGGAAUUAGGGUUCGAUUCCGGAGAGGGAGCCUGAGAAACGGCUACCACAUCCAAGGAAGGCAGCAGGCGCGCAAAUUACCCAAUCCCGACACGGGGAGGUAGUGACAAUAAAUACUGAUACAGGGCUCUUUUGGGUCUUGUAAUUGGAAUGAGUACAAUUUAAACCUCUUAACGAGGAACAAUUGGAGGGCAAGUCUGGUGCCAGCAGCCGCGGUAAUUCCAGCUCCAAUAGCGUAUAUUAAAGUUGUUGCAGUUAAAAAGCUCGUAGUUGAAACUUGGGCCUGGCUGGCGGGUCCGCCUCACCGCGUGCACUCGUCCGGCCGGGCCUUCCUUCUGAAGAACCUCAUGCCCUUCACUGGGCGUGCUGGGGAAUCAGGACUUUUACUUUGAAAAAAUUAGAGUGUUCAAAGCAGGCCUUUGCUCGAAUACGUUAGCAUG